rnacentral:rRNA from 1 species
GAUGAACGCUGGCGGCGUGCUUAACACAUGCAAGUCGAGCGGACGGAUUGGAGCUUGCUCUAUGAAGUUAGUGGCGGACGGGUGAGUAACGCGUGGGUAACCUACCCUAUGCAGGGGGAUAACGCUUGGAAACGAACGCUAAUACCGCAUAACCUAGUUAGUUCGCAUGAACCGACUAGCAAAGAUUUUAUCGGCAUAGGAUGGACCCGCGUUGGAUUAGCUAGUUGGUGAGAUAACAGCCCACCAAGGCAACGAUCCAUAGCCGGCCUGAGAGGGUGAACGGCCACACUGGGACUGAGACACGGCCCAGACCUCCUACGGGAGCAGCAGGUGGGGAAUAUUGCACAAGUGGGCGACAAGCCUGAUGCAGCGACGCCGCGU